UUAAACGUCCAUACCACGUUGAAUACAACGUCGGGCGCGGUCAGUAAUUGGAUGGGUGACCGCCUGGGAACACCGCGUGACGUUGGGU
rnacentral:rRNA from 1 species